GACGAACGCUGACGGUGUGCUUUAGGCAUGCAAGUCGAACGAGAAAGCCCUUCGGGUGAGUAGAGUGGCGAACGGGUGAGUAACACGUGGAUAACCUGUCCCUCGCAGGGGGAGUAACCGGGGAAACCCCGGCUAAUACCCACUACGUUUCUCAGGGGCGAUCCCCUGAGAAAGAAAGGUAGCUUCGGCCGAUCCGGCGAGGGAGGGGUCCGCGUCCCAUUAGCUAGUUGGUGAGGUGAAGGCUCACCAAGGUGACGANGGGUAGCUGGUCUGAGAGGAUGAUCAGCCACACUGGGACUGAGACACGGCCCAGACUCCUACGGGAGGCAGCAGCCAGGAAUCUUGCACAAUGGGCGAAAGCCUGAUGCAGCAACACCGUGUGGGCGAGGAAGGCCUUC
rnacentral:rRNA from 1 species